UUUUUAGGUGAUGUAUGUUUCUCAAAGUGUGAAGAUGCUAAGUGCUUUACCAUGUGUACAGAGUGUCCGAUGGAAUGGGAAUUUAACGCUGAUUUUAUGAGCUGCUAUUACUUGGCUCAAGACACACAUACUGACUAUCUAUCAGCAAACAGUACUUGCCAUACACUUGGCGGACAUAUUGCGACCAUUUCCAGUGUGAAGGAAACAUCUUGGAUACAAACGAAGUUGAAUGCAGACUUACUAA